CGAAGCGCGCGUCUGAUCUGCCCGACGUGCCGUCUCCGCCCGAGAUCGGCCUGAAGGACGCCGACAGCGCGAUCUGGUUCGGCGUGUUCGUGCCGUCGAAGACGCCGAAGGAUGUGGUCGAGAAGCUCUACGCCACCGGCACCAAAGUGCUGGCGAACCCCGACAUGCAGCGCGACCUGAAAAAACUCGGCGUCGAGCCAUGGCCGAUGAAGCCCGACGAGAUGGACAAGCU
rnacentral:misc_RNA from 1 species